GAGGAUGCUGAGGUGACCAAAGCUUUUGAAGAAGAUAUAGAGACCCCACCAACAAGAAACAUUCCUUCUCCCGGACAGCUGGACCCAGACACACGGAUCCCUGUUAUCAAUCUUGAAGAUGGGACUAGGCUGGUGGGGGAAGAUGCUCCUAAAAAUAAGGAUUUAGUUGAAUGGCUGAAGCUGCACCCUACUUACACUGUUGAUAUGCCAAGUUAUGUACCAGUGAGUAUUGCAGAGUUUAGAGUUGGAAGGAAUCUUGCAGGCCGGUCCACUUCAUUCCCUUACAACAUAGAAAUCCCCUGACAGCUGGUCCCUCUGCCUUUUCCUUGAAUGUUUCCUGGUCUCAAACAUUUCCCAGGUCUUUGUUGUUGAACAUUCUUCUUCAUUACAGAUACUAGCUUCAGGUCUGUCUUACUGAGGGCAGCCUUACAGUUACUUGAAGAUGUGCGUUAUGCAUUGCCUUACUGUUUGCUUCUCCCAUCAAACACAUGUGACUUCUUCAGUUAUUCUUUCCAUGGCAUCGUUUCCAGGCGGUCUUAGUAUUGGGGUAACACUCUUGAAUGCACUUUCUCCAGUCUCCAGACAAGGCUCCGCCAUCCCAGAGUGCUAUGAAGCCAUUACUUCCAGAGAUUUGACCAGUUAGUGCAGCCCAAGAUUGUAUUAGCUGCUUUUAUGGCAACUAAUGCUGGUGCCUUAUAUUAAACGUUAGACAGUUCAUAUCUCCAAAUGUUUUGUCACACAAACUGUUUGCUAGCUAGCAAUGCAAGUCUUUUGCUUUCUAUAUUUAUGUGAUUGAUUUUUUAAAACUUAAAUGUAGAGUUUUACAUUUUAUUUUGUUGGUUUCAGCCUUGCCACUCAGAAUGUACCCCCACCCCCUACAAGAUCUGUCUGUUUGUUGGUUAGUUCUCAUUACAGACAGUCUCAUGUUGUUGAUGGGGUAUCAUCUCUGUGUUCAUUCAAGCCACUAACUAGAAAUUAGUAAAAGUACUACAGAAAGCCUCCUUUAAAAGUAUCAUGACUUGGUUAAACAUUUAAAGAAAAACUUUAAAUGAGGUUAUUGAUAGACAAAAGGAAAAGCCAAUUCUCACUUAUGUGUUCCUUAAUGGACAGGGGUAAAAUAGGAGUUUUUUCUUUCAAAGAGAAAAAUAUCGUUUCUAAUAUUAAUAAUUAAAAUGGUUCUUGAAACUUCCAUAAUAAUUGAAGAUGAUCUGACAGUUCUCUUUGGCAUUUAUAUAGAGAAGAAUAAGUACUAAAUACCAGUUUUACUAAGUAUGUUUUUUUUUUUUUCAGAAGAAUGCAGAUGUGCUGUUUUCCUCAUUUCAGAAACCGAAACAGAAACGACAUAGAUGUCGAAACCCUAAUAAAUUGGAUAUAAACACUUUGACAGGAGAAGAAAGGGUGCCUGUUGUCAAUAAACGAAAUGGGAAGAAGGUAAAUGCCGGGAAAGGGAAUUGAUCACUAUGCGAUUUCUUAGCCCAGAAGGAAGUGUUUUAUCCUGCCUUCUUCUAUAGGGGAAAGGAAUCCUGUCUGCCCGAAUGCGUGUGUGCGUGUGUGCGUGUGCGUGUGUGUGUGUGUGUGUGUGUGUGUGUGUAUUAUAGAAGGGGAAGGGAGUAGAUUAACAGAAAGGGGAGGGAAGACUGUGUUUUUAAUCAUUUGUCAAAUGCCUCUACCCAGAUGGGUGGAGCUAUGGCGCCUCCAAUGAAGGACCUACCCAGGUGGCUGGAAGAAAAUCCUGAAUUUGCAGUUGCUCCAGACUGGACUGAUAUAGUUAAGCAGUCUGUAAGUACAAACUGCAUUUCUAUGAAGAAAGGUAGCUAUACAAAACUGUUUUCCUUAGUCUUUCUUAUUUUCUGUUGGCCGUUAAUUAUUCAGUUGUAACUUAUUCUUAGCUUAAAAGAAUUGACAUAAUACAUCAUUUUCAUACAUCAUUUCAUACAUCAUUAAUACAUCAUUUCUUACAUCAAUACAUCAUUAAUCCAAAGUGAAUUCAUUUGUCAGCUCCAAUUUAAAAGGUUUGUGUGGAAACAUACAUUCACAGUCUUGGAGGUAGACUUCUCCAGGGGGGAUUGCCCCAGGUAAGCCUACUUAACAGCUCACCUGUGGAAUAGGAUGUAUGGUGGUUGAGAUCAUUAAGAUUAACUGUGAUUUCUGAUUUAAAAAAAAAAAAAAAAUACAACAGUUCUGCCUAAAAGAUUUGUUACCAUUAGCUUUUUAAAAAUUCGUUCAUGACAUGCUGGUUCUUUGUUUUAAUUAUACAUUAAAAAUGUCUUUCGGUGUAACAUUCUGUUGAUCUUAACACACGUGUGAGUUUGUGAACUGACACCGUAGUCAGAAUAGGGUUCCAUCCCCCACCCCCGCCACCCCGAGUUCCCUCACACUGUCCUUUCCCUGACCCCAGCCCCUGGCUGCCGCUGACCUGUUGUCCAUCCCUGUCUUUUUGAGAAUGUCCUAAAAUGGAAGCAUGAAGGACGUAAGUCUUGAAGCAAUUUCUUUCACUCAUCAUAUGGAAGGUCAUCAAUGGUCGCAUGUGUCACAGUUCUCUCCUUUCUGUUGCCGAGUAGCUGUCUCCAUUGCAUAGAUGUGACACUGCACGGCUUAGCCCUCACACACUGAAGGACAUCUGGGUUAUUUCCUGAUUUUUGAAACUGUGAUUAGAACUUCUAUAAGCAAUUGUGUACAGGUUUUGAUGUGAACAUAAGUUUUCAUUUUUCUAGGGUAGAUACUAAAAUAUAAUUAAUUUUCCAUAUUUCAAAAAUACUUUUACAUAUAUUAGAAAUAUCCAAAAUAACACACUAUAGAGGGGAUAAAACAUCCUGGGUUUAUAUUAUGUUAUACUAUUUUAUAAUUUUUCUCCCAUACAAUAUCUUUUUUUCUUUCUUUUUUUUUUUUUUUUGAGACAAGGUCUUUGUCACCCAGGCUGGAGUGCAGUGCUGAAGUCACAGCUCACUAUAGCCUCAAUCUCCCAGGCUCAAGCAAUCCUCCCACCUCAGCCUCCCAAGCAGCUGGAACUGCAGGCACACAUCACCAAGCUUGGCUAGUUUUUGUAUUUUUUGUAGAGAAGGCAUUUUGCCGCGUUGCCCAGGCUGGUCUCGAACUCACCUCCAGCAGUCUGCCUGCCCUGACCUCCCAAAGUGCUGAGAUUACAGGUGUGAGCCACUGUGCCCAGCCAAAAAUUUUUUUUAAUUGACAGAUAAUUGACAAAAAUUAAUUGAUGAAUCAAAUAUAUAUGCAAGGUGUACAGCAUGGUGUUUUUUUCUUUUAAGAGACAGGGUCUUGCUGUAUCACCCAGGCUGGAGUGCAAUGGUGCAAUCAUAGCUCACUGCAGCCUCAAACUCCUGGGCUCAAGCAGUCCUCCCACCUCAGCCUCCUGAUUAGCCAAGUAGUUGGGAUGACAAGCAUAUGCCACCACACCUGGAUAAUUUUUUUUUAUUUUGUAGAGAUAGGGUCUUGCUAUGUGCCCUGGGCUGGUCUCAGACUCCUGGGCUCAAGAAAUCCUGUAGUCUUGGCCUCCCAAAGUGUUGGGAUUACAAGCAUGAACCACGGCACCUGGCUUCAAAGUGAUGAUUUGAUAUAAUUAUACAUUAUGUACUUUCCUUUUUAAAAAUUUGUUAUGGGUACAUAGUAGGUGUAUAUAUAGGGUACAUGAGAUAUUUUUGUACAAGCACACAGUGCAUAAUAAUCACGUUGGGUAGAUGAGGUAUGCAUCACCUCAAGCAUUUACCCUUUAUAUUACAAACAAUGUGAUUAUACUCUUUUAGUUAUUUUAAAAUAUACAAUAAAUUAUUGUUGACUGUGUGGUCACCCUGUUGUGUUAUCAAAACCUAGAUCUUACUCAUCCUGUCUAACUCUAUUUUUGUACCCCAUAAUGUACUUUCUGAUGUAUGAUUUCUUGAGUUAGUUAUGGAUGCAGCUAACUUGACAUUUACCUCACUGAUGAGUAGCCUUGAGCAAUUUUUCUGCAGUUCAGCAAGCUAACAUAAUAAUAAAAACAAGUUUUGCUGUCAUUAAGUUUUAUCAUUGAGCUGUUAGGAGGGAAGAACUACUUAGGUAUUUCCAUUUGGAAUGGCAUGUUCACCACAGAGGCUCACAUUGAGAUCAAGUUGUCUUCGACAGCCUUUAUAGCCAUUAUUUGCCUCCCCUGUCCUCCAGGGUUUUGUUCCUGAGUCGAUGUUUGACCGCCUUCUCACUGGGCCUGUGGUGCGGGGAGAGGGAGCGAGCAGAAGAGGAAGAAGGCCCAAAAGUGAGAUCGCCAGAGCAGC
rnacentral:sRNA from 1 species